rnacentral:sRNA from 1 species
UAUUUGUGUGCAGUUCUUAUUUUCACGCGCCAUAAAACUGGUAUAUUUCACAGAGUGGAUUCUUUUCUAUUUGUUUUAAGUUGUUGUUUUUAUUUUCUGUCAUAAAAUAGGAUGUCCCAUUUGUUGAUGUCGAACACAUGAUGAAUAAUCUGCAAGCCAAGUUUUUGGAUAAGGACCCACUCAUGUUGGAUCUCGUCUCUAAAGAUCAGUUUUUUGAUUUUAAAACAU